AAUAGGAUGUCGAUUUUCUUUAUCAAUUUUUGUUUGUUAAUUGAAACGUUAAAAUAAAAAAUCAAAUAUUUGUUAUCGCUGAUAGUUUGAAAAGCCCAUCAAAAAUUAGAUAUGUUGCCCCAGUUAAUUCAGAUUGUCAGUUAUUCAAAUAUUCGAUUAUGUUUGAAUAAACGGUAAUGAAAAUGUUUUUGUCUGCUGAAUGAUACUUGCAACGGCUGGUUCAUUAAUUCGACAUUCGUAAGCAUUGUACCUAUGGUGAGGUACCAAUCGUUGGAUAUCAGUUAAUGCAGAAUAGUUGUGCUGUGGAACCUGUAUACAUGGCAUAAGUGGGGUAAUUCCUCUCUGAAGAACAAUGGCUUUUUGUAGAUGAACAGUGCCAAUUUAGAACAUUACAAAAUACUUAGGGCAGUAUCAAUUGGAUUCUAUCAAUAAAUCUCACUUUGUCUAUUUUCUAUCUA